AAGUAUCUACACACAGACCUAUAUAUCACUGUGUAUCUAUAAUAUACUCCACUUAAUAAUCCCCAUUUAAUAUCAACUAGGUCGUCUGCCUGUCAACUUCCCUGUCGUCUGCCUUGAGUCUCUACAUACUUUUUUCACUGUUUAAUCCAGCCUCCAGAGUUCAACCCCCAGCAAGGAUAAAGCCCACCAUUCACCAUGGGCGUCCGGUUCUUUCUCAGGGAACUCUGGACAUUCCGUAACAUCUUCAUCGUGAUCCUCACCCCACUCUUACUUCUCCCCAUACCCCUCGUUCUGAGGUCAGUGGAAGCUAAAUGCGCCUAUGCUAUAUUGGUGAUGGCCAUUUAUUGGAUCAGUGAGGCCCUGCCCAUAGCCGUCACCUCCCUCCUGCCCCUUAUCAUGUUCCCCAUGUUAGGGGUCUCUCCGGCAAAGCAGGUUGCGAAGAAUUAUAUCAAUGACACGUCCAUGUUAUUUGUCGGAGGCCUGGUCGUUGCUUUGGCAAUCGAAACUUGGAACUUACACAAAAGAAUCGCUUUACGGACGCUUCUUAUAUUUGGUACGGAACCAAAGAGGUUGCUCCUUGGUUUAAUGGUCACCACAUGGUUCCUCUCCAUGUGGAUAAGUAACACCGCAACGGCAGCCAUGAUGAUCCCCAUUGCCGACGCCAUUCUAAAGCAGCUGCAAAUGGCAGACGAGGAUGAUACAGUCAAGGAUAACGAUCAAAGCCUCAAGAUGGAAACCUAUAAGAAGUUGGACCCAGAAUCCACGAAGACUCUGGAAAAAACAGAAGCGAUAGAAAAUUCCACACAGGUAACAACAGCACCACCACUGCCAACAACAACAACGAAAGUUGCGACAACAACAACAACAACAACACCUGCUGAGACAAACAAAACAGAUUCUGAUGUUACUGAGAAAGGGCUCCAGUCCGUUAUGGCCGCCAAAACUGAACAAUCCCACAUUAGACUGUGUAAAGCUGUCUGUUUAUCCAUCGCAUAUUCAGCCAAUGUCGGAGGUAUGGGUACCCUAACAGGAACGGGCCCAAAUUUGGUGAUGAAAGGACAGUCGGAUUUGUUCUUCAGCGAGGUAGGGCUACCCCCACCAGUGACCUUUGCGAACUGGAUGCUGUUUGGCAUCCCUCUGUCAUUCAUCAACCUCAUCUUCAUCUGGUUCUGGCUCAUUGUCUUUGAGUUACGGCAAUGGAAUCCGAAAUUGUGGUGCUGCAACAAGGACGGCACAGGAAACAACCUGAGGGUCCGGAGACUGAUUCAGGAAGAGAUGAGGACCCUAGGGAACAUCACAUUUGCUGAGAUCCUGACUGGUGUUUGCUUCCUGGUUCUCACUCUCCUCUGGAUAACACGUGACCUGCAGUCGGCUGGAGGGUGGAAGAACUUGUUUAAGGACAAGUAUGUCACGGAUACAACAGCUGCCAUGUUCAUCUCCAUCCUGCUGUUUAUUUUGCCGUCCAAAGUUCCCAGAUUCUCCUGGAAAGGGCACGGCGCUGGAGGGUGGCCCACCAUACUCACAUGGAAAGUCGUGGAGACGAGACUGAACUGGGGCAUCAUCUUACUGUUGGGUGGUGGAUUUGCCAUAGCAGCUGUUUCGAGGGAAUCCGGAUUAUCUACUGUAAUCAGUGAUAACCUCAUGGGUCUUUCAUCGAUGACCCCAUGGGUGAUGGCUUUGAUCCUCGGCUUCAUCGUUGCCAUGAUGACAGAAAUUACCAGCAACACCGCAACCGCCACCAUCUUGAUGCCAAUUAUGGCGGAAUUGGCCAUCUCUAUUAGAAUGAACCCACUCUACCUGAUGUUCACAGCCACCUUGGCAUGUUCCUACGCAUUCAUGUUACCUGUGGCCACACCGCCUAAUGCAAUUGUAUUCGCUACAGGACACCUGAAAGUUACAGACAUGGUGUCUGCUGGUUUCUUGAUAAACAUCGUCUGUGUCCUGACUCUGACCAUGGCAUUGCAUACCUGGGGUGAGGCGAUGUUCCAUUUCACUGAGAUACCAAGUGCCUUCCUGGCGAAUUCCACGGCCAUUCCGGUGACCUCGUAGCAGACCGUGACUCUUGGAAUUGUCUGCUUUUAGAAGUUUAUUCUGAGACUGUGUCAAGAUGAGGAUUUCGAGGACAGAUGAACAUUUAUUUCACAGGGGUUUCUGGCAAACCUCGCAUUUGGUCAAGCGCUGGUUGUGUGUGUGUGUGUGUAUGUGUGUGUGUU
rnacentral:misc_RNA from 1 species